GACGAACGCUGGCGGCGUGCUUAACACAUGCAAGUCGAACGGAAAGGCCCUGCUUUUGUGUGGUGCUCGAUUGGCGAACGGGUGAGUAACACGUGAGUAACCUGCCCUUGACUUUGGGAUAACUUCAGGAAACUGGGGCUAAUACCGGAUAGGAGCUCCUGCUGCAUGGUGGGGGUUGGAAAGUUUCGGCGGUUGGGGAUGGACUCGCGGCUUAUCCGCUUGUUGGUGGGGUAGUGGCUUACCAAGGCUUUGACGGGUAGCCGGCAUGGGAGGGGUGACGGGGACAUGGGGCCUAAGAGACGCACCAGACGCCUACGGGAGGCAGUAGGGGGGAAUAUUGCAGAACGGGCGGAAGUGUGAGGCAGCAACGCUGCGAGCGGGAUGACCGCCUUCGGGUUGUAAACCGCUUUGGAAGGAGACGAAGCGUGAUUGACGGUAAUGGGUAAAGAAGCAACGGCUAACUACGUG
rnacentral:rRNA from 1 species